AAGAACCAGAUUACUAAAGGCAAAAAAACUGAUGCUUUCAAGGUGUGCAACGUUAAUGUACAUGUUUAAAUUAUGUUAUAUGUAUGUCCUUUUGUUAUUAAUUUUUGUUACCAUAUCAGUUUUACUCACUUUUUUUUUCACUGCACUAUGUUUUCGUUUCACAAAGUUGUUACAUCCAUUAAUAUUAUACUGAAAUCUAAAAGAAAUGAAAGAAUGCAUUUGAUUGGCUAUUUGGCUAAUUGGCAUGGGACCCGCAUCCAUUUUUCCCUUCACGCCGUGACCCUACCAACGCCCACCACCUUAAUGCUAGGUUUAGCUCCCCAUUGGGCGGUUUUACAUGCCCCUUACGCCGGAAAGUUGCCACCUCACCGAGGGCAUAAGGUGGUAACACAUAGCCUUUAGAGACUUUUAAGAAAAUCAAAAAACAAACUUAUUUCAAGGAUUAAUUUAAAAUACGAUGUUACUUUUUUAUAAUCUAUAAUAACAUUUGCCGUAGGUUCUUAGGAACAGUUUAGGUUUCUAAGGUUUCCUUCACCUACACCUGCCAGUAAUUCCGUCUUCUCUCACUUUAUCCCCUUCUCUCUAUGUCUCUCUGGGUUAAACGAGGAAGAUGAAGAAGACAGCGGCAAAGCCAUCGCUCCCACCAUCGCACUAAAUCAGAAGCCCUAAAUCUCGAACAAGAAAUUAACCGGUAAUUGCUUUCUGAUUUAUCUCCUGUUUUGCAGUAUAUUUUUUGUCUGUUAAAUUUUCUUUAACUGUAGAAAGAAAUUAGAAGAUGACUCUUUCAACAUCCAAUGGAAAAUCGUAGAUGGUUAAUCACUGAUCUACAGUUGCAGGUAAGUGAAUCAACGAUUAUCGUGAUGAUGAUUACGAGGUGUUUGGGUAUUUGUGGAUCUAUACAUGCCUAAUUAGGUCAUGAGAUUUAAAUCAAUUUAGUGACGGUAAUCUUAUAUGUUUGUUAAUCGUUUCCACUAAAUUGACUAAAUAAUCGGUACGUUUUUGGACUAGACGCCUGUAUAUAGCUUACAUUUAUUAAUAGGUUGGAAUGUAAAUUGAUUUAAGAAUGAUUUCUUGCGGUUAGUAGACGUUUUUGAAGGUGAUUUUACAUAGAGUAAGUGAAAGGUAGUUUCUUAUGCAAACAUAUUAAUCCUUCUAGCUAUUACAUACUAUUAGUUUUUAUAUGUAGAUAUUUAUCGUUUUACCCAGUUUGUAAAUGUAGAUUAAGGAAAACACCAACAACAGAAAAAAUCAAUCAUGUAAGAGGUCAGUUAGGACCAACAUGGAAAUCUGUAUCAUUUGGAUAACAUAUGCUGGGACAGUUCACUUAAAGAGGUUGGUGUGGAUGAAAGACCACUGAAGGCGGGACCAAAUUCAGUAGCUUUGAAAAGUGUCGAAACACGAAAAGAGGUACAAUAUGAUUACCAGAUUAAAAGGUAUUGGUUGUUUUGCGUAGCUGAUUUUAAGUUGGGUUUUGUUUAGAUUAAAACAGCAAAACGAGUAGCACGCUCAAAUAACAUCAGAUCUACAAAAUAACAAUAUUUAACAUAAGAAGCUCAACUGCUUUUGAACCGACUAAAGUAGUAUUCAUAAAAAAGAGUUGACAUGGUUUAGCCGACAUGAUAUAUACACAACUAUCAAAGUAACAAACAACAUUGGUGGCUAAAAUCAAAAUGAUAGUAAAAAUAGAUAUAAAUGGUCGGUUAUACACUAUGAGAAUUGCUCAAUCAAAAUAAAAUGGCAUUACCCCGCCCAGGUCAAAUGGGCGAACAUAUAAAUAUCAAACGGGUAAAUUAUAGGAAAAAAAACAUUGUUUUAAUCUUUAAUACAUGCAAUAUUGCAAUAGACGGGUUACAUUACAAAUGUUAUGGUGUGGAGCAGUGGAGAUUUGAUCAUGAACUUGAAUUUAUAUACAUAUUUACUCAUGUUCUUUUCAUUUGUGGGGAAAGUUUAUAAUUCUGCACCACACCAUAUCAUUUGUAAUGUAACCAACAAAAGUAGAAAACCUUGUCAUUAAGAAGCUCAAAUUUUAUGAAUUUAGUCGAGAGAAAUUCACUUAAAACAGGUGACAUAAAUGCAAUGAACAAUAUAAUAUGCGUUGUGCUGGUGGAAAUGAUACUAUAGUAAGAAAACAAUAUUCCAAUUGUCUGUAAGAUGAUCAUAGGAGCACAAGCAAGAAGAUUGAAAAUGUCAUCAAUGCUGGUUUGUUAUCCCACUUACUGAUGCUCUUUUUACUUUCAUAACAAAUGAAGAAUAGAAAAUUAAAGAAUCUUGAGAAUUUGUUAAAGUUUACCUGUAGAUACAAAGAAAAAUGGUUAUUGGAAAGUAAGAAUGUAAUGAUUUUGUAUACAACUUAUUGUUACAGGUGCAUUGGUGCUUGAAUAUAUACAUAUUUUCUACAUAUAUCAGUGGUAAUCACAAAAAGAAAUGAUCACAUCUCACCAUCAAAUUAAAGCCUUGACCGGAGAAAUAACCAUUGUUGGCAACUUAAGAGGCUCAUUUUGACCCACUCUGUUUAGCCUGUAACCAACCAAAACGGGAUGAUCCGCCAUUUUUAUAUUCUAUAAUAAAUAAUGCAAAACUAAGCUAUCUCUCCCAAAAGUCUCUUGAAACUCAGAUACCACUAAAAUUUGAACCAAACCAGUUUGGCCCGCCUAUCGAAUCAAAAGCACUCAUUUGACAAAACCUAUUUUGCCCCGUUACAAAACAGGCGAUGUCAAAUUGGGCUAGCUCGUACUGCAUAGACGUCAUCUUUCUAAUCUUUUAUACAUGUUUAAUGUGAUAAUAUAAGUACAAAAAAAUAAGAUAACUUUAGGGGUGCAAAUUCCUGGCACGACCUAAAACACAACCCAUACACGACAAAAGAAUAAUCAUAGUAGGAACCAUCGUCAUGACAUGACCAUGAUCCAUGAGAGAGAAUGUGUAUAUGAGAGAGAUGCAUGCAUAUUGAGAGACAUAAUAGAGUCAUAGAGAGAAGGCAAGAAACUUUGCAUGAAAGUAAGAGAAUACUUUAUACUAUAGACGAGAUAUCGGUAAUAAAAGUUUGUCUUUAUGGUACUAGUGAGUUUUCCAGCGUGUUGCGGCGGUUCGGUUUUGCUAAAAAAACACUUCGUAAUGAUAUAUAUAUUCGCCAAUCCCAAAAAGUUACGUUAGAAUUAUUUUUAAAAAUGUAGUUUAGCAGACUUGUUCCUUCUCUCCACAUCGAUCAACCAAAUAAAUGGUCUAAAAUAUCAUGUAAUCGUAUCAAAUAUUGAUGAUGUCCCAAACUAAAAUAAUAUAAAAGAGUAAGUAAUCAUAAACCUCCUACAUAUAGUUAUAGUUUUUAAAAUUUAAACGUUAUCAGAUAUAGUAAUCAUAAACCUCCUAUAGUUAUAGUUUUUAAAAUUUAAACGUUAUCAGAUAUAGUAAUUAUCAAAGUUUAUAUGUUUUUAGCUCUCCCCCCUAUCAGUCGAGAUUCCACACACACACAAUUACCAUCUUUCUUUUAUUUGUUUUUUCAAAGUUUGAAUUCAUGUGAAAAUUGAUAUCUUUUAAGAUUGUCUUCAUUAAUGGUCUUGGUCGUGGCGUGGGAUGGAUUUUUUUUUCUUUUUUUUUUAAAGAGAACUUCAAUAAAACCGACCGGUCUGCCAAAAAACUCAGGACCGCACCAACAACCAACUACAACAUAUACAAAGGAUAAUUACACCACUCUUUCCAAACAAUAUUCUUAUGUUUGGAUCUGUUUUUUAGCCAAAAAAAACCGUAUAGUUCUAACUUCCCCAAAAAUGUCUUCACUGUCCCCUCUACCAUUUGUGAAAACCUUUUCGUUCCUAGCUUUCCAAAUAGCCCAACACGUCACAACGACCAGGCCACAAACAAUCUCCUUAGUUUUAUUAUCCCCGCUACCUCCUUUGUGAAUACUAAGAAUAUCCUUGAACGAGAACGCGUAGAUCGGAGGGAGUUUGACCCACCCGCUAAACCGAUUCCAAACCCUCAACGCUACGUUGCAGCUCGUAAAGAGAUGAUCCACCGAUUCCACCCCUUCCCCGCAAAGCACAAGACACCGACUCGACCGGGAUAUUCCUUUUUUCGAGAGCUUGUCUAGUCGGAAUACGGUCGAGCGCCGACCUCCACAUUAAAAUCAUACAUUUAGACGGCACCCAACCACACCCCUUAACAGUGUAAAUAACCUCCUCGUCCCAUUCCUCCGCUGCCAGAUCCUUGAACGAACUCGAAGAGAACAAACCCAACUCGUCAGGAGACCACACCCAUCUAUCCUUCUCAGCCGAUAACUCCACGCAGCCGAUCGAAGACUCAAAUUCUUCCAGCUCCAGAAUUUCACUCGGGGUCAUCGGAUCUCUUGCCCAGCUGCAAAGAAGGAUCAGAUCGUCACCCGAACUUGAGAUUCGGUCGCUAACCCAGCAAGAUUUGUAUUUUUCAAGCGCAAAAAGACCAGGCCAUUUAUUCAUAAGGGGGGUAUCCCCAUACCAAAUAUCUAUCCAGAAUCUUAUGUUGUUUCCAUUUCCCACCACACCUUUAAUGAAAUUGUGAAUUCUUUUCCCUUUUAUCAGUAGUUUGUCCUCCAUUCUCAUACUAUUAUUCCACACACCUGUAACUGCCGGGUCGGACGGUAAUGACGACCACUUCCUCUUCCUACCAUGGCAAGCCGAAAUCACUCUUCUCCACAAACUAUUUUCUUCCACUUUAAUUUGAAAUUUAAUUUUUUUUCACAUGACAAUACUCUAAAAUUACACAUUAAAAAAUGCAAUUGUAUACAAAUAAUAUCCUGUAGAAGUUCACUUUUAUAAUACAAUAAAGAUGUAAAUACGUAACUAAUUAAAGUUAUAAUAUAAAACAAUUUUAAAAGGUUACUUAUAAAAUUCAACAACAGUGUUAUAUGUUAAAGGGCUAAUUGCAUACAUGGUCCUUAACCAAGAACCACAUUACUAAAGGCAAAAAAAACUGAUGCUUUCAAGGUGUGCAACAUUACUGUACAUGUUUAAAUUAUGUUAUAUGUAUGUCCUUUUGUUAUUAAUAUUUGUUACCACAUCAGUUUUGCUCACUUUUUUUUUCACUGCACUAUGUUUUCGUUUCACAAAGUUGUUACAUCCAUUAAUAUUAUACAGAAAUCUAAAAGAAAUGAAAGAAUGCAUUUGAUUGGCUAUUUGGCUAAUUGGCAUGGGACCCGCAUCCAUUUUUCCCUUCACGCCGUUACCCUACCAACGUCCACCACCUUAAUGCUUGGUUUAGCUCCCCAUUGGGCGGUUUUACAUGCCCCUUACGCCGGAAAGUUGCCACCUCACCGAGGGCAUAAGGUGGUAACACAUAGCCUUUAGAGAAUUUUAAGAAAAUCAAAAAACAAACUUAUUUCAAGGAUUAAUUUAAAAUACGAUGUUACUUUUUUAUUAUCUAUAAUAACAUUUGCAGUAGGUUCUUAGGAACAGUUUAGGUUUCUAAGGUUUCCUUCACCUACACCUGCCAGUCAUUCCGUCUUCUCUCACUUUAUCCCCUUCUCUCUAUGUCUCUCUGGGUUAAACGAGGAAGAUGAAGAAGACAGCGGUGAAGCCAUCGCUCCCACCAUCGCACUAAAUCAGAAGCCCUAAAUCUCAAACAAGAAAUUAACCGAAAGAAAUUAGAAGAUGACUCUUUCAACAUCCAAUGGAAAAUCGUAUAUGGUUAAUCACUGAUCUACAGUUGCAGGUAAGUGAAUCAACGAUCAUCGUGAUGAUGAUUACGAGGUGUUUGAUCCAGUGGGUAUUUGUGGAUCUAUACAUGCCUAAUUAGGUCAUGAGAUUUAAAUCAAUUUAGUGACGGUAAUCUUAUAUGUUUGUUAAUCGUUUCCACUAAAUUGACUAAAUAAUCGGUACGUUUUUGGACUAGACGCCUGUAUAUAGCUUACAUUUAUUAAUAGGUUGGAAUGUAAAUUGAUUUAAGAAUGAUUUCUUGCGGUUUGUAGACGUUUUUGAAGGUGAUUUUACAUAGAGAAAGUGAAAGAUUAAGGAAAACACCAACAACAGAAAAAAUCAAUCCUGUAAGAGAUAACAUAUGCUGGGACAGUUCACUUAAAGAGGUUGGUGUGGAUGAAAGACCGCUGAAGGCGGGACCAAAUUCAGUAGCUUUGAAAAGUGUCGAAACACGAAAAGAGGUACAAUAUGAUUACCAGAUUAAAAGGUGCAUUGGUGCUUGAAGAUAUACAUAUUUUCUACAUAUAUCAGUGGUAAUCACAAAAAGAAAUGAUCACAUCUCACCAUCAAAUUAAAGCCUUGACCGGAGAAAUAACCAUUGUUGGCAACUUAAGAGGCUUAUUUUGACCCACUCUGUUUAGCCUGUAACCAACCAAAACAGGAUGAUCCGCCAUUUUUUUAUUCUAUAAUAAAUAAUGCAAAACUAAGCUAUUUCUCCCAAAA